AACGUGGGUAACCUGCCCAUCAGAGGGGGAUAACAUUCGGAAACGGAUGCUAAAACCGCAUAGGUCUUCGAACCGCAUGGUUUGAGGAGGAAAAGAGGCGCAAGCUUCUGCUGAUGGAUGGACCCGCGGUGCAUUAGCUAGUUGGUGAGGUAACGGCUCACCAAGGCCGUGAUGCAUAGCCGACCUGAGAGGGUGAUCGGCCACAUUGGGACUGAGACACGGCCCAA
rnacentral:rRNA from 1 species